rnacentral:misc_RNA from 1 species
GUCUUCAGGAUUUUUUUUUUUUUUCUUCUCUUCGUUAAAGUUUAUAAAAUAAAUAGAUAAUUUAUCCCACUUUCUCCUCAAUGAAGAGAUUGAAGUUUCCUGACGAUCUCAAAUCCCUUUGUCCCCCACAAAAUGUAGAGGCAAAGAUUAGAAAAGAAGGAAGAUCUAACCCAGUAACCCUAUUGGCAGACACACCCAUUAGGGCUUUUCAAUACAAAAAUCAAAAAGAUUGGGCCCAUGUAUUGGAUUGGCCCAUUCUGCUCUAACAUUAAGAGUAACCGAUCCAAUUCAGCACUGCCUAGAACUAGUUCGAUACAGGCAAUCGAUUUAUAAACUGCUUUUAAUAAGGAACUCCACAAAAUAUUGUUACUGUGUCGCCUUCACAUAUUAAAUUCACCAAUAACUAGCAUUUUUUUCACACUUGAAAGAAUUCACAGCUAGAUUUCUCCUUGCCAUUUUUGUCGCACCGACAGUCAACAACUCCCCCGCCCAAAAACCCCCUCUUCCCUCUAGUUUGUACUUGCUUUACUCUCUGCGGAAAAAUUAGAAAGUUAGAAUCACACUUAAAAAGAUCACAUUAUUAUUCAUCACCCGUAUCCACUACAGAUUUCUUAUAUUCUGGCUUAAGCUUAUAAGUUCCUUGAUUUGUUCCUCG